rnacentral:rRNA from 1 species
AUGGCCCUGUUUGAGGAAUUCUACUCGGGCUCUACGGAUCUUGGACGCCUUAACUAUGGGAUCAUUACCCUCAUCCCCAAGGUUCCGGGCACCUCUGAUAUCCGCCAGUUCUGUCCCAUCACAGUGAUUAAUGUGAUAUUCCGGAUCCUGGCCAAAGGGUACGCCAAUAGGGUGAACCUGCUCGCUGACACGAUUACCCACCCGAACCAAUGUGCCUUCAUACAAGGACGAUUUAUUCUGGAUGGGGUGUUGGUAUUCCACGAAGUCCUCCAUGAAGUCCGGGUGAAACACCAUCGAGCAGUCUUCUUGAAGCUUGACUUCCACAAAGUGUACGACACUGUCCACUGGCCCUUCUUGCGGGAAGUGCUGCUCUAA